rnacentral:rRNA from 1 species
AUUCAGUGAAUCAUCGAAUCUUUGAACGCACCUUGCGCUCCUUGGUAUU